rnacentral:rRNA from 1 species
GAUGAACGCUGGCGGCGUGCCUAAUACAUGCGAGUCGAGCGAACGGACGAGAAGCUUGCUUCUCUGAUGUUAGCGGCGGACGGGUGAGUAACACGUGGAUAACCUACCUAUAAGACUGGGAUAACUUCGGGAAACCGUAGCUAAUACCGGAUAAUAUUUUGAACCGCAUGGUUCAAAAGUGAAAGACGGUCUUGCUGUCACUUAUAGAUGGAUCCGCGCUGCAUUAGCUAGUUGGUAAGGUAACGGCUUACCAAGGCAACGAUGCAUAGCCGACCUGAGAGGGCGAUCGGCCACACUGGAACUGAGACACGGUCCAGACUCCUACGGGAGGCAGCAGUAGGGAAUCUUCCGCAAUGGGCGAAAGCCUGACGGAGCAACGCCGCGUGAGUGAUGAAGGUCUUCGGAUCGUAAAACUCUGUUAUUAGGGAAGAACAUAUGUGUAAGUAACUGUGCACAUCUUGACGGUACCUAAUCAGAAAGCCACGGCUAACUACGUG